rnacentral:lncRNA from 1 species
ACACAUACACACACACACACACACACACACACACGGGGCUCGGACAUCACACAGUUAUCUGAUGUCCUCUCUUUCUGUACUCUCGGGUCUCUAAGUUUCUCACAAUCUGCAAGUUGAUUGAAAAACUCCCAAUUCUGUAUUCUUAUAUAUGAAGAAGUAAUACUGCAUCUGUAAGCCACACCCUUGUUUCCUCCUGCUUACUUUAUCUUCUCCCAUAUUGUUCUAGGAAGAUGUGUUUGCCUUCUCGGUCUGCCAAGAAAGGAAAAUUGAUCGUUUGACACCUUGGAGAUUUUACCUGAGGGAAGAUAAUUUCUUCAAGCCUCUUGUGCCUGUGAGAGUCAAGCGCUGUUUUGCAGCUGCAGUACUGAUAAUGUAUUCACAUUCUCCCCAGAGCAAUGGAUUCUUUAACCUUAAUAUUGAGACUGGAAUGAGAUUCUGUCCUCUAGAGGUCACCAAUGCACCAGAUUUGAAGGCCAUGGAGGCUUCCAAAAUGCUCAGGAAGAGCCAUGUGUCCUGUUCACGUUUGAAUGAGAGAGAAAAUAAGGAUCCAGCGCUCAGUACCUCUACAGGUGUUCUUAUGGCCCACAGAAAUGCUUCUCCAUGUCUCUUGCCCUAUUACCUUGAAAGGAAAAGUGGCUGCCCUAAAUCCCCAAAUGCUAUGAACAUUGGAGGAUUGUGUCACUGUCAGUGUUGCAUUUGGACACCUCUUUGGAGUAUCAGAAGGAUUUCAGCAGUGGAAGCUCUUAAGAAAGAAUACACAAAUUAUUUUAUCUUGUCAUAUUCUUUCUCUCAGAUAGCAUAAAUGCAAUAAAUUCG